rnacentral:sRNA from 1 species
UCAUGAAUUCAUACUGAUAUUGAAAUUCAGUCAAAAUUCAGAACUACUGGAUGCUUAUUUAAAUUCUCUGUCCUGUACCUAUGUCUAUAUCCAGUCCUUACAGGUUCUGAAGAAGACUAGGAAUGGUUAGAAUAUAAUAUAUCACUCAAAUCCAUGUUACACAGAAAACAUUCUCAUAAUAACUACUAACAACAUGAUUACUCAAAAUUAUUGAAACAGGCAUUCCAUUCUCACCCAUGAGUGCGUGUUUGUAUUUACAGUUGUGCUGUUUUUACACUGUCAGAGCAUACGGCACAUGUUAUAGGGUACUCUCUACCCUAUAUUCUGCUCAGUACAGAGCAUAAGGAGAUAACUAUCACAGCUUUAGGUUUUUUUUAAUUGUGUUAAUGUUGAAUCAAAACUUUCCUUUAGGUGUGCAUAUAAAAGGGAAUAAGAAAGGGAACCAACUAUGUUGAUAGAGGAAUAAUUCUUCAAAUGAAUGUUACAUUAAGAAAUUGUCAAUGAAACACUGCUGUUAAUAAUAUAAAAGGUUUUAUGUGUUAGAUUCCUCUGAAUAUAACUUUCACAUUUUGUCCUCUUUUGUGCUAAUAGAACAUUCUAGUAUGCCAGUAGAAAAAAAUAUCACUUUAGAAAGGCCUUCUAAUGUAAAUCUCACAUGCCAGUUCACAACAUCUGGGGAUUUGAAUGCAGUAAAUGUGACUUGGAAAAAAGAUGGUGAACAACUUGAGAAUAAUUAUCUUGUCAGUGCAACAGGAAGCACCUUGUAUACCCAAUACAGGUUCACCAUCAUUAAUAGCAAACAAAUGGGAAGUUAUUCUUGUUUCUUUCGAGAGGAAAAGGAACAAAGGGGAACAUUUAAUUUCAAAGUCCCUGAACUUCAUGGGAAAAACAAGCCAUUGAUCUCUUACGUAGGGGAUUCUACUGUCUUGACAUGUAAAUGUCAAAAUUGUUUUCCUUUAAAUUGGACCUGGUACAGUAGUAAUGGGAGUGUAAAGGUUCCUGUUGGUGUUCAAAUGAAUAAAUAUGUGAUCAAUGGCACAUAUGCUAACGAAACAAAGCUGAAGAUAACACAACUUUUGGAGGAAGAUGGGGGAUCUUACUGGUGCCGUGCACUAUUCCAAUUAGGCGAGAGUGAAGAACACAUUGAGCUUGUGGUGCUGAGCUAUUUGGUGCCCCUCAAACCAUUUCUUGUAAUAGUGGCUGAGGUGAUUCUUUUAGUGGCCACCAUUCUGCUUUGUGAAAAGUACACACAAAAGAAAAAGAAGCACUCAGAUGAGGGGAAAGAAUUUGAGCAGAUUGAACAGCUGAAAUCAGAUGAUAGCAAUGGUAUAGAAAAUAAUGUCCCCAGGCAUAGAAAAAAUGAGUCUCUGGGCCAGUGAAUACAAAACAUCAUGUCGAGAAUCAUUGGAAGAUAUACAGAGUUCGUAUUUCAGCUUUGUUUAUCCUUCCUGUUAAGAGCCUCUGAGUUUUUAGUUUUAAAAGGAUGAAAAGCUUAUGCAACAUGCUCAGCAGGAGCUUCAUCAAUGAUAUAUGUCAGAUCUAAAGGUAUAUUUUCAUUCUGUAAUUAUGUUACAUAAAAGCAAUGUAAAUCAGAAUAAAUAUGUUAGACCAGAAUAAAAUUAAUUAUAUUCUGGUCUUCAAAGGACACACAGAACAGAUAUCAGCAGAAUCACUUAAUACUUCAUAGAACAAAAAUCACUCAAAACCUGUUUAUAACCAAAGAAUUCAUGAAAAAGAAAGCCUUUGCCAUUUGUCUUAGAAAGUUAUUUUUUUUUAAAAAUCAUACUUACUAUUAGUAUCUAUGGAAGUAUAUGUAACAAUUUUUAUGUAAAGGUCAUCUUUCUGUGAUAGUGAAAAAAUAUGUCUUUACUAAGUUGAAAUGAAUACUUUCUGCCUUUGCUAAUGAUAGUUAUUCUACAAUCUCCACAAGAAAAAUAUACCUUUUAUCCGGAAAUAUUGGUUUAAGGCAAAUAAAUAAAACUGUGCUUGCUCUAAAGCUCUGCACUACAAAAGCAAAUUUUCCAGUCUUUAUUCCACUCAUAACCACUGCUUUCCCCACCAGGCUAAAGUGCUUCUUAGUCUUAAAUAGGGUUUUGAACUUCAUAAGGUACACCAUUGUUUAUGUUUUAGGGUGCAGGUCCAUAUAGUCGUAAUACUUAAAACACUGCUACACUGAUGCUUUUGUGGCUCAUGGUUUCCUGGUUCUUUGAUUUAACACCUGGCUUCCUGGUAUCUAUGGCUGGUUAAAUAUCUAAACCUGCAUUAUUAGUGCUUUACAAUAAUAAUUCCCUUGACUGAAGUCCAGAAAUACUAAAGCACUUCUUUUUUAUUGCUGUGAAUGCCUUAGACUUAUCUUCCAAAACAGGAUACUUCGUUUCUAUUGCAUAUAUAACUGAAAUAUUUUAUAAACUCACUGUAAUCAAAUCUUAUAAAAUCUGAAUCGACAUGAAAAGUUGUCAGUGCUUGAAUGAAUACUAAAAUCAUGCCACAGGAUACUAGAUAACAUAAAUGACCAUGAAGUGUCCCACUGCUCAAAGGGCAACAACUUUAAGAACAGAAGCAAAGAGUGGUGGUGUGGAACCCAAGAUUCUUGGCGACUAGAGGAUUUAAAGGUUGGGGAGGAG